GGUUAAGCGACUAAGCGUACACGGUGGAUGCCCUGGCAGUCAGAGGCGAUGAAGGACGUGCUAAUCUGCGAUAAGCGUCGGUAAGGUGAUAUGAACCGUUAUAACCGGCGAUUUCCGAAUGGGGAAACCCAGUGUGAUUCGUCACACUAUCAUUAACUGAAUCCAUAGGUUAAUGAGGCGAACCGGGGGAACUGAAACAUCUAAGUACCCCGAGGAAAAGAAAUCAACCGAGAUUCCCCCAGUAGCGGCGAGCGAACGGGGAGCAGCCCAGAGCCUGAAUCAGUGUGUGUGUUAGUGGAAGCGUCUGGAAAGGCGCGCGAUACAGGGUGACAGCCCCGUACACAAAAAUGCACAUGCUGUGAGCUCGAUGAGUAGGGCGGGACACGUGGUAUCCUGUCUGAAUAUGGGGACCAUCCUCCAAGGCUAAAUACUCCUGACUGACCGAUAGUGAACCAGUACCGUGAGGGAAAGGCGAAAAGAACCCCGGCGAGGGGAGUGAAAAAGAACCUGAAACCGUGUACGUACAAGCAGUGGGAGCACGCUUAGGCGUGUGACUGCGUACCUUUUGUAUAAUGGGUCAGCGACUUAUAUUCUGUAGCAAGGUUAACCGAAUAGGGGAGCCGAAGGGAAACCGAGUCUUAACUGGGCGUUAAGUUGCAGGGUAUAGACCCGAAACCCGGUGAUCUAGCCAUGGGCAGGUUGAAGGUUGGGUAACACUAACUGGAGGACCGAACCGACUAAUGUUGAAAAAUUAGCGGAUGACUUGUGGCUGGGGGUGAAAGGCCAAUCAAACCGGGAGAUAGCUGGUUCUCCCCGAAAGCUAUUUAGGUAGCGCCUCGUGAAUUCAUCUCCGGGGGUAGAGCACUGUUUCGGCAAGGGGGUCAUCCCGACUUACCAACCCGAUGCAAACUACGAAUACCGGAGAAUGUUAUCACGGGAGACACACGGCGGGUGCUAACGUCCGUCGUGAAGAGGGAAACAACCCAGACCGCCAGCUAAGGUCCCAAAGUCAUGGUUAAGUGGGAAACGAUGUGGGAAGGCCCAGACAGCCAGGAUGUUGGCUUAGAAGCAGCCAUCAUUUAAAGAAAGCGUAAUAGCUCACUGGUCGAGUCGGCCUGCGCGGAAGAUGUAACGGGGCUAAACCAUGCACCGAAGCUGCGGCAGCGACGCUUAUGCGUUGUUGGGUAGGGGAGCGUUCUGUAAGCCUGCGAAGGUGUGCUGUGAGGCAUGCUGGAGGUAUCAGAAGUGCGAAUGCUGACAUAAGUAACGAUAAAGCGGGUGAAAAGCCCGCUCGCCGGAAGACCAAGGGUUCCUGUCCAACGUUAAUCGGGGCAGGGUGAGUCGACCCCUAAGGCGAGGCCGAAAGGCGUAGUCGAUGGGAAACAGGUUAAUAUUCCUGUACUUGGUGUUACUGCGAAGGGGGGACGGAGAAGGCUAUGUUGGCCGGGCGACGGUUGUCCCGGUUUAAGCGUGUAGGCUGGUUUUCCAGGCAAAUCCGGAAAAUCAAGGCUGAGGCGUGAUGACGAGGCACUACGGUGCUGAAGCAACAAAUGCCCUGCUUCCAGGAAAAGCCUCUAAGCAUCAGGUAACAUCAAAUCGUACCCCAAACCGACACAGGUGGUCAGGUAGAGAAUACCAAGGCGCUUGAGAGAACUCGGGUGAAGGAACUAGGCAAAAUGGUGCCGUAACUUCGGGAGAAGGCACGCUGAUAUGUAGGUGAAGUCCCUCGCGGAUGGAGCUGAAAUCAGUCGAAGAUACCAGCUGGCUGCAACUGUUUAUUAAAAACACAGCACUGUGCAAACACGAAAGUGGACGUAUACGGUGUGACGCCUGCCCGGUGCCGGAAGGUUAAUUGAUGGGGUUAGCGCAAGCGAAGCUCUUGAUCGAAGCCCCGGUAAACGGCGGCCGUAACUAUAACGGUCCUAAGGUAGCGAAAUUCCUUGUCGGGUAAGUUCCGACCUGCACGAAUGGCGUAAUGAUGGCCAGGCUGUCUCCACCCGAGACUCAGUGAAAUUGAACUCGCUGUGAAGAUGCAGUGUACCCGCGGCAAGACGGAAAGACCCCGUGAACCUUUACUAUAGCUUGACACUGAACAUUGAGCCUUGAUGUGUAGGAUAGGUGGGAGGCUUUGAAGUGUGGACGCCAGUCUGCAUGGAGCCGACCUUGAAAUACCACCCUUUAAUGUUUGAUGUUCUAACGUUGACCCGUAAUCCGGGUUGCGGACAGUGUCUGGUGGGUAGUUUGACUGGGGCGGUCUCCUCCUAAAGAGUAACGGAGGAGCACGAAGGUUGGCUAAUCCUGGUCGGACAUCAGGAGGUUAGUGCAAUGGCAUAAGCCAGCUUGACUGCGAGCGUGACGGCGCGAGCAGGUGCGAAAGCAGGUCAUAGUGAUCCGGUGGUUCUGAAUGGAAGGGCCAUCGCUCAACGGAUAAAAGGUACUCCGGGGAUAACAGGCUGAUACCGCCCAAGAGUUCAUAUCGACGGCGGUGUUUGGCACCUCGAUGUCGGCUCAUCACAUCCUGGGGCUGAAGUAGGUCCCAAGGGUAUGGCUGUUCGCCAUUUAAAGUGGUACGCGAGCUGGGUUUAGAACGUCGUGAGACAGUUCGGUCCCUAUCUGCCGUGGGCGCUGGAGAAUUGAGGGGGGCUGCUCCUAGUACGAGAGGACCGGAGUGGACGCAUCACUGGUGUUCGGGUUGUCAUGCCAAUGGCACUGCCCGGUAGCUAAAUGCGGAAGAGAUAAGUGCUGAAAGCAUCUAAGCACGAAACUUGCCCCGAGAUGAGUUCUCCCUGACUCCUUGAGAGUCCUGAAGGAACGUUGAAGACGACGACGUUGAUAGGCCGGGUGUGUAAGCGCAGCGAUGCGUUGAGCUAACCGGUACUAAUGAACCGUGAGGCUUAACCUU
rnacentral:rRNA from 1 species